AUUUUUAAUGUAAUAAUGAUUAAGUGAACGUCGUUUUAGUUUAAAUUUUAAAUCAGCAAACACUUAACAAAAAAGAAAGAAAAAAAAAAAGUGAAGGGAGUGUAAACAGAGAAGUUGUAAACUUUCAAAAUGUUUUCUUUUUACUGGCUACCGAUGAUAUCAUCGAGGAGGAAUACGAUUGGACGACGUUGCCGUCAUUUCUCUAAUUUUAGAAAAUGACGUAAUUUCGGCUGCGGUGAGUUUGAAACGAAAUGGGCCCGUUUGGCCUCUGUUAUAUGAAUGAAUGCGUGAUUGAUGCUCUUUAAUUCUUUAAAAAUAUCUCGAAAAAUCUUAAAUAUGCUCGAAUUUUAAAGUUAUUUCUUGUAUAUAAAAACUUUAAGAUGAAAUAUUCAAAUGUUGGGAAAAACAUGACAGUUAUUUAUGCAAUUGUUUUUUGGCAAUUUCCUAUGGUAAGUAAAAAAUAUUAAAUUGAGUUAAUAUUUUUGUAGAAAAUUAGCUUGUUAACAGUUAAAUGGGAAUUAAGUUCUUACAGCCAUUUCACAAGUUCAUGUAAUAAUUUCAUAUUCCUUAAUGUUUUUCUUAUCUGCAAGUAUACACAAAAGUUCAUCAGGAAUUUUUGCAUAGAUCUAGAUCAUUUUCAUUGCUCUAGAUCAGGGGGUCCCAACAUUUUUAUUAUUUUUAACGAUUAUGGAUAAAACAGCAAAUAUAAACACCAAAAACAACUUAUUGAAAUAAUGCAAAAGAAAAAAAAA